rnacentral:rRNA from 1 species
CGCCAGACUCCUACGGGAGGCAGCAGUGAGGAAUAUUGGUCAAUGGGCGGAAGCCUGAACCAGCCAAGUCGCGUGAGGGAAGAAGGCCCUGCGGGUCGCAGACCUCUUUGGACGGGGAGCAAGGCCGCCGACGUGUCGGCGGAAGGAGAGUACCCGUAGAACAAGCAUCGGCUAACUCCGUGCCAGCAGCCGCGGUAAUACGGAGGAUGCGAGCGUUAUCCGGAUUUAUUGGGUUUAAAGGGUGCGUAGGGGGGCUGUUAAGUCGGGGGUCAAAUGUCGGGGCUAAACCCCGGCCUGCCGUUGAAACUGGCGGCCUCGAGUGGGCGAGAAGUAUGCGGAAUGCGUGGUGUAGCGGUGAAAUGCAUAGAUAUCACGCAGAACUCCGAUUGCGAAGGCAGCGUACCGGCGCCCAACUGACGCUCAUGCACGAAAGCGUGGGUAUCGAACAGGAUUAGAUACCCCAGUACA